rnacentral:rRNA from 1 species
GAUGAACGCUGACAGAAUGCUUAACACAUGCAAGUCAACUUGAACUUCGGUUUGGGUGGCGGACGGGUGAGUAACGCGUAAAGAACUUGCCUCACAGUUAGGGACAACAUUUGGAAACGAAUGCUAAUACCUGAUAUUAUGAUUUUAGGGCAUCCUAGAAUUAUGAAAGCUAUAUGCGCUGUGAGAGAGCUUUGCGUCCCAUUAGCUAGUUGGAGAGGUAACGGCUCACCAAGGCGAUGAUGGGUAGCCGGCCUGAGAGGGUGAACGGCCACAAGGGGACUGAGACACGGCCCUUACGCCUACGGGAGGCAGCAGUGGGGAAUAUUGGACAAGGGACCAAGAGUCUGAUCCAGCAAUUCUGUGUGCACGAUGAAGUUUUUCGGAAUGUAAAGUGCUUUCAGUUGGGAAGAAAAAAAUGACGGUACCAACAGAAGAAGGGACGGCUAAAUACGUG